GGCCUCAUAGUUCAAGGGAUAGAACGAAAGUUUCCUAAACUUUAAAUUCCAGUUCGAGUCUGGGUGAGGCUACCA
rnacentral:tRNA from 1 species